rnacentral:rRNA from 1 species
GAUGAACGCUGGCGGCGUGCCUAAUACAUGCAAGUCGAACGAAUCUUCUUCGGAAGAUGAGUGGCGAACGGGUGAGUAAUACAUAGGUAACCUGCCCCUGUGCGGGGGAUAACAGGAGGAAACUCCUGCUAAUACCGCAUAGCCAUGAGCACCGCAUGGAGCUCAUGCCAAAUAUCCUCCAGGGGAUAGCGCAGGGAUGGACCUAUGGCGCAUUAGCUAGUUGGCGGGGCAACGGCCCACCAAGGCAACGAUGCGUAGCCGGCCUGAGAGGGCGGACGGCCAAGUUGGGACUGGGAACCGGCCCAGAAGCCUACGGGAGGCAGCGGUAGGGAAUUUUCGGCAAUGGGGGAAACCCUGACCGAGCAACGCCGCGUGAGCGAAGAAGGCCUUCGGGUCGUAAAGCUCUGUUGUAAAGGAAGAACGUCGCAUGCAGGAAAUGGUGUGCGAGUGACGGUACUUUACCAGAAAGCCACGGCUAACUACGUGCCAGCCGCCGCCGUAACAC